AGAAACGAGCCAACCGCCUGAAUGAGUGCGAAGCGUGUCGUACACGUGUAUGACAGUAAGAUGCUCUUUUGAGAUGACCAACAUCAAUUCUUCUCAUAAGACAGUAAGAACACGAUCAAAUCUCUACCUCUCUUGUUCUUUUUUUACCUAAUCCGUAACAUUCAAACGGGAAACGUGUUGGUCUCCACACCGUAUGGGUUGGGACCUCACACAAAGCUGAAGGAGUAGAUAUUGCAUUGGAGCAUAUUCACAACAUACGGGAAGCCCUUCCUGAACUAUGGGAUUCUGUUGACGACAAAGCCCAGGAGAUUAGAGUCAGGCAGAAGGUUGCCAUUGAAACCAUAGCUUAAACAAAAAAAAAACAUUUCACUCAUAUUUCUCAGCUGCUGAUAGUAACACAUUUCUCAUCAUCACUACUCACUCUUGGAAGAGAAAAUAAUAAGUGAUAAACACAUACCUUUAGAUUCGAUUUGUUCAUCCUCUCCAGAACCGGAAAUCUUGUGUUGGUAUCUGUAUCGGAGAAGAAGAUACAAUGGAGAGGGAGAUUAGUAGUACUUUGAGGAAUCUAAAGGUAUUUGUUUAUCUUUACAUGUAGCUUUAUCCAUCAAUAUGCACACAUGCUUAUCACAAGUUAUAGAGUUGAUUUGGGACCAAAGUUGCAAACUUUCAGUAACGAAAUUGCGUUAUCAAUCGUGUAGCUCUUACAAUUUGUGAGCAAGUGUCUGCUUUGAAAGAGUUGGUUUGAUGAACUUUAUAUUGGUUGCUGGUGCUGUUUGUUUCUUGUUUAUGCAAAGGUCUGCUUUGAAAGAGGAGAAGAAGAAGAAGAUUGAUGAAGAGCCUAAUGCGAGUUUUUCUUCUCUCGCAAGUGUUGUUGCAAAGAAGUGGUACUGCAUCUUUUGUUUUGUUUGCUAUAGUUGUGUAUGUGUUGUCUACCCUUUUGGUUCUGUUGUUUCGGGCUCUUGAUUAAUUACAUCCUUCUGUUCAUGAAUUGUGAUAAUAGCCUGUAGUAGUUUGGUUAUUUGUCAGUAUUAAACAAGUAUCAUGUGUUUGGUUGUGUGUUUCUAAAUAAGUGAUUUGAUGAUUGAUGCAAUGUGGUCAUAACAGACUGGGUUCCUCAGAUUACAAGAUAGCUUUGCAGAUUCCGAUCACAAUCACCUUCGCAUGGCGAAGAUGAUUGAUCACGACGAUCUCAUGGCGACCGUGCCUAGACUCAUAUCGUCUACAACAUCAAUAUACAAAGCAUAAGCGAAAGUAAAUGACUGAUGCUUCUUUCUUCUACUUAUAUGUAUUUCUCAGAUUCCAACUGCAAAGAUACUAUCUCAGCCAGAGUCUCUCCUCUACUCUUUCCCUUGUCAAGCUUGGAUGCCACCUCAGAUUGAAGACACCUAUCACAUUGCUAGGACGAAUGUCAUUUCAGUCUUUCAACCCUUCUAUCGAGCGAACCGAAGAUCGAGCCAAGUCGGAAAACAAAUGGUGACUUGAAAAGGAAACAUGCUGAGGGAGUCUCUGAGGAACAAAACCAUCCAAGCAACUCUCCGAGGAGCAGUGACACGCCUUUACCGAGCAACAAAAAAGGCCGUAAUGGUUUCAAAAAAACAAAGAGCAGGAAGGAGGCCUGGAGCGUUUUGAAGCCACCAAAACCUCAAACCAACAAGGUUCAAAUUAGCUCUACCUUUUUUUUUGACAUCAAAUUAGCUCUACCUAUUUGCUUUUAUUUCAUAUGUGAUAGUAGAUCGUUCCUUCCACUUGUCUGUAUCCGUUUGAUAAGUUAAUAGCCAAAAGUUUUGAACUCCCUACCUGAUUGUUUUACACUUGUGUUAGCUCAGAUAUAUGAGGAAACAAUCUUGUCUUCUCUUUAAGAUUAUAAUCCAUAAUUACUAUAUGUACUUAUGAUGAACACGCUUGAGUGACUGAGGGUGGAUAUAGUUCAAGGAUCGUGGUGGCAAUGAUAAAGCAAUGUUUUACCGAUAGAAAUUCCAAAUAUCAAAUUGCUAACACGACAUUCAUCUUUUGUCUACUAAUAACAUAGGAUUAUGUUUCACAGCAUUCAAAGCAUAUCAUGAAGAAAUAGAAUACUUCUACAAGUCUUCAAGUUUGAAGAGGAGCAAGCAUACAAGACGACACUUCAAUGUCUAGCUCCUCUUCUGGCUUUGAAGAACCUCUCCUUGAUUGAGAUUAAUUCUUUUACAACCUCACUCAUUUCCAACCGGUUUGCUGGAGACUCUUCAGAACACCCAAGUCCCACUUCUAAAACCUUUGUCAAGCACUCAGCAGCAGGGAAGCCAAUUCUAAGGCCGCUGUGAAGAAUUGAUUCGUCUGCGACAUCCAAAACUUGAUCUGGCAAUGCAGACCUGAUGCAGCUACGGAUGGUAAAGUCUCCUCCGAACAUCUCAUCGGUUGGUCGUUUUCCACUAAACAGUUCAAGAAUGAGAAUCCCAAAACUGUAGGCAUCACCAUGUACUGAUAUUUCUCCUCCCAUUGCAUAUUC